AUUGAACGCUGGCGGCAGGCUUAACACAUGCAAGUCGAGCGGGGUGAUGGUGCUUGCACUAUCACUUAGCGGCGGACGGGUGAGUAAUGCUUAGGAAUCUGCCUAUUAGUGGGGGACAACAUCUCGAAAGGGAUGCUAAUACCGCAUACGUCCUACGGGAGAAAGCAGGGGAUCACUUGUGACCUUGCGCUAAUAGAUGAGCCUAAGUCGGAUUAGCUAGUUGGUGGGGUAAAGGCCUACCAGGGCGACGAUCUGUAGCGGGUCUGAGAGGAUCGUCCGGCCGAAUGGGAGUGGGACACGGGCCAGACGCCCACGGGAGGCAGCAGUGGGGAAAUUUGGACAAUGGGGGGAACCCUGAUCCAGCCAUGGCGGGUGUGUGAAGAAGGCCUUAUGGUUGUAAAGCACUUUAAGCGAGGAGGAGGCUCUUUUGGUUAAUACCCAGAAUGAGUGGACGUUACUCGCAGAAUAAGCACCUGCUAACUCUGUGCCAGCAGCCGCCGUAA
rnacentral:rRNA from 1 species